rnacentral:misc_RNA from 1 species
AACGCCUCAACCCCAAUGGAUUUGUUUCUUUUGGGGCUUGGACUUGGAGUGUGCUGGCGUGGGUCGGCUCCUCUCAAAUGCAUCAGCGGGAACUUGAUCCUUGGCUUCGGUGUGAUAAUCACAUUGCGCCGUGGCCCGAGCCCUCAGGUCCGCUCACAAAUGGUCUUUUGUUGGAGACGAUUUUAUUGAA